rnacentral:lncRNA from 10 species
CAGAUCAAGAGCAUCUCAUCCUCCGGCUGCUGAGUCAUCCUGCUCUGGCAGUUAUUUAAACAGAAGCCUCCAGGAGACAUACAAUCAACACUCCACUCAGACAAUGCCCAGACCUCCAGAAAUCAUGUGUCAAGCUUGGAUUGCCUUAGACAGGUGCAAUUUUAAAACAGCUUUCAUCCUCUUUUCUCUCAUAUUGUCACACUAUGGGUUCUGACUUCUGGCUCCUUUCCUCAUAAGAAGCUCACCCAGCUGGAACUCUUAUGGGACCUUGGCACCAGAGAUCACCAAUUCCUCUUUGAAGUUUUCUAACAGCAUCAAUGGUAUUUCUGACUUGGCUUUCUUGUAUUUCUCUCACGUUAACAAAACUGGUUGAGCAUCUACCACGGGCUACAUGCUGAGCUACAGGUGCUGUUGAUGAAACUGCCAAAGGAGCUGAAUAUGACUGACAUCUUUGGAAGGAUGAGACUUAGCGUGCCCGUACAGUUGUGUCCAAAUGCUGUCCUUAUCUCCCAAUGGAAAGCCCCAAACAAGUCACAUGUGUAAUGCAGUGGGAGAGCAGUGCCCUGAAGGAAAAGGUGGCCUGCUGGACUGCCAAGAGAACAGACGUCCGCUGCAAGUAAUAUGAGCCGUAAGUCUGGACGAGGCCCAUGUCUGCUAUGAGGCUUGGGGCAAUUCACUUAAUCAGAGCCUUAAUCAGCUACGGACUAACAAUAUCCAUACCUGCUACUUAUUUUGUAAAUCUCCUUUCUAAAGUUAACUCUAUUCGUUGUUCCAUAAUCCCAUAAAUUCUAGACUCUUUUCCUGUUACAGCCAAGUUGUCUAUCAUGGACAGAGAUACUCACCUGGUGGUUUUGGCUUCUCUAAUCCUCCUGGUGAGAACACCUCCAAGGGAGCUUUCAAUGGCAUUUAAGGUCACUUGUGCUCUUGGGCCUAGAAACUGCCUUGAUAGUGGUUUUAGCCCACAUGAGGUCCCCAGGUUCUGCCUCCAUCCUGACGUCCAGUGUUGGAUUCCUCUUCACAUCAACUCCUCUCUGCAGGUUGGGCCAUCAGACCUUACCUCCUCAUUUAUGUUGAGCAAAGGAGAGAGAAUGCCUCUACAGACAACGAAAAAAGUGAAAAAAAAAAAUCCUUCUCCUCCUUAUAACUUUAGUUAGCUUAACUUUAGUCAGUUUAACUUUAGUCAGUUGCUUAGCUACUAAACAGUAGCUAUUAGGAGGUGGGAAGGAAUACUAUUGUGUAAUCAACUAAGGCUCAUACAGAAGAUUAGGGUUAUCUGGAAUGAUUUGAAUUCAUUAGAAUUUACUCUCAGAGCUGUGGCAAUUCCUUGAACCACAUUGAUUGCUAUAAGGUGGAAGAGGAAUAGAUUGAAUUUUGGGGAGUCAACUACAAUGUGUACUACAGGUAAAUACUAUGAAUUUCCAAUUCACAGAUGAGAAAAUUGAGGCAUGUGCUAGGAGGGAGGUUAUGUAAUUUGCCCAAUAUCACAAUUGAACCUAGGCAAAAGCCUAUCUCCAGGUCUAACAAUUCAGUGACCUCCUGUGUACAUUUCUGUCUCCGUUUUUUAGAGUCGGGGUCUCACUGGGCCACCCAGGCUGGAUUGCAGUGGCUUGAUCAUGGAGAUCGUGGCUUUCUGUAGCCUUGAACUCCUGGGCUCCAGUGAUCCUCCUGCCUCAGCUUCCCGAGUGGCUGGGACUACAGGCUUGACAACACACCCGGCUAUCCUGUGUACAUUUCUUGAGAGUUUAUGAUAUAUAAGAGAAACUCUAAAAUAAGGGGAGGGUGUGCUAAGGGGAAGACCAAAUCACUAUCGAGGUGGAUUCAAUCCUACCUCUUUUAUUUCCUAGUUGUGUGACUCUUUUGAAAGGGGAAUAAUAGGCCAGGCACGGUGGCUCCUGCCUGUAAUCCCAGCACUUUGGGAGGCCCAGGCGGGCAGAUCACAUGAGGUUAGAAGUUCAAGACCAGCCUAGCCAACAUGGCGAAACGCCAUCUCCUCUAAAAAUACAAAACUUAGCCGGGAAUGGUGGCGUGUGCCUAUAGUCCCAGCUACUCAGGAGACUGAGGCAGGAGAAUCGCUUGAACCUGGGAGGCAGAGGUUGCAGCGAGCCGAGAUUGCGCCACUGCACUUCAGCCUGGGUGACAGUGAGACUCCAUCUCAAAAAAAAAAAAAAGAAAAGAAAAGAAAAGAAAAUGGGAAUACUCAAGCCUGUAAUCCCAGCACUUUGGGAGGCCGAGACGGGCGGAUCACGAGGUCAGGAGAUCGAGACCAUCCUGGCUAACACGGUGAAACCCCGUCUCUAUUAAGAAAUACAAAAAACUAGCCGGGCGAGGUGGCGGGCGCCUGUAGUCCCAGCUACUCGGGAGGCUGAGGCCGGAGAAUGGCGUGAACCCGGGAGGCGGAGCUUGCAGUGAGCUGAGAUCCGGCCACUGCACUCCAGCCUGGGCGACAGAGCGAGACUCCGUCUCAAAAAAAAAAAAAAAAAAAGAAAAUGGGAAUAAUAAAACUUACUUACUGGAGCAGUAGCAAAUAUUAAAAUUUAGACCAGGCAGAAGAAUGUUUUUCAAAAUGACAUGACCUGGUAACGUGAUAAAAAUGCAAAUUCCUGUUACCACGCCAGACCCAUUGAAUCAGAAACUCUGGGAAUGGGAUCCAGGACUAAGUACUUUAACAAGUACUUAGGUGAUUAAUCCCCAGGUGAUUCUGAUGAUUGUUAAAGUUUGAGAACCACUGGUCUAACACAUUGCCUGGUACAUAAGCUUUUAUUUUGUUGUUGUUGUUUUUCCAAGGACAAUGUGUAUGUUGACUUCUGUUUCCAGGAGUUCAUGACCUGGAGAACUAGAGAAAGGAAGACAAAAAUUCUUUAAAGCAGAAUGAUACUGAUUGAUAAAUACCUGAAUAUAAUACAGGUUACAUGUGCUUUGAAUAUUUAUGAAAGGUUGAAUUUAUUUCCACCAGGGUGACUCUCAGAAGCUUUUAUAGAUUAGAGAAGAAAUGGAAAGGGGAAAACACAGUUAUGAACUAUAAAGCAGAGCAGACAAGUUUUCAAUGGUUACUGCCAAUGUGUAUAUAGAAAGUUAGCUUGGCCAGGCAAGGUGGCUAAUUCUUGUAAUCCCAGCACUUUGGGAGGCCGAGGCGGGCAGAUUACCUGAGGUCAGGAGUUUGAGACCAGCCUGACCAACAUGGUGAAACCUUAUCUCUACUAAAAAUACACAGUUAGCCGAGCAUGGUAGAGCAUGCCUGUAUUCCCAGCUACUCAGGAGGCUGAGGCAGGAGAAUCGCUUGAACUUGGGAGACAGAGGCUGCAGUGAGCUGACAUCGUGUCAUUGCACUCCAGCCUGGGCAACAAGAGCGAACUCCGUCUCCAGAAAAAAAAAAAAUGUAAGUUAUCUUAAAAUAUAUCAAUACAAACAAAUAAAUUCAAAUAAAUUGAUAUUUCAUAUUGUACAGGAACAAAACCCAUCAGAAGAUGUCAGAAGAUAAGGAUUUUUGUCCUGAUGCUACACUUACCAGCUGCCCCUCAGUGUUCUACUUCUUUUUUUUUUUUUUUNUUUUUUGGAGACGGAGUCUCGUUCUGUCGCCCAGGCUGGAGUGCAGUGGCCGGAUCUCAGCUCACUGCAAGCUCCGCCUCCCGGCUUUACGCCAUUCUCCUGCCUCAGCCUCCCGAGUAGCUGGAACUACAGGCGCCCGCCACUCGUCCGGCUAGUUUUUUGUAUUUUUUAGUAGAGACAGGGUUUCACCGUGUUCGCCAGGAUGGUCUCGAUCUCCUGACCUCGUGAUCCACCCGUCUCGGCCUCCCAAAGUGCUGGGAUUACAGGCUUGAGCCACCGCGCCCGGCCUCAGUGUUCUACUUCUUAAAAAAAAAGAGAUUGGUCCUGAUCCCUGGUUCUUAACCAGGGGAAAAUAAAGUGGGGCCAGGGCAUGUGCAGACUUAAAAAUUACACAGGGGAAUGUAGGCAUGACCUGUUUAAGAAAUACUGGACUAAAUGGUCUCUGUGAUUGUAGAUUAAAGAAUAAUCAAGUGUUGGCCAGGCGUGGUGGCUCACACCUGUAAUUCCAGCACUUUGGGAGUCCAAGGUUUGUGGAUCACACGAGGUUAGGAGUUCGAGACCAGCCUCGCCAACAUGGCAAAACCCCCUCUCUACUAAAAAUACAGAAAAUUAGCCAGGUGUGGUGGUGCAUGUCUGUAGUCCCAGCUACUACUCAGGAGGCUGAGGCAUGAGAAUUGCUUGAACCUGGGAGGUGGAGGUUGCAGUGAGCCAAAAUCACACCAUUGCGCUCCAGCCUGGGUGACAGAGUGAAACUCUGUCUCAAAAGAAGAAAAAAAUAGUAAUCAAAUGUAAAGUUAACACAUAAAGGAGGCAUGUACAUAUUAUUAAAAUCUAUAUGACUAUCUCUGCUUUUUUAUUUUUUGUUCAAUAUCUGUAUCUGAACACCUAAUUAAUGAAAGGAAAACAUUUAUAAUAUGUAGCAACUAAAAUGUCACCUUCUCUGUGGGGAUCACAAAGUCCUUGGCAAUCACUUCCAUACCAGACAAGUGAGUAUUGUCCUUCUCUUUUUCCAGAUGGAUAAACAGAGGCAACCCGAGGAUAAAGCCCUUGUUCAGUGUCACACAUUUCAGUCACUAAAUAAGACAGAAUGGAUGCCAGUAUUCUCAUCCCCUUACAAAUAAAGAGCCUUCAAGCUCUUGCAGUCAACAAGAACUUUUGGAAUGAUUUCACUGCCUAAAAAGGCAGAUACAUAGAUGACAUCCACAAACAGGAAGAAAAUCAACCUGAACCUGAGUGUGUGGCCUCACUGACUCUAAGCAGUAGAGACAGAAGAAAAGUAAAGUUUUAGCAAAGAAGGUUCUGAAAGAAAAUAAGUAUAGCUAGUUAUUAAGCGCUGUUUUUACACAGUAAAACAAGGGCAAAAUUACUCUUCUUUAAGUACUAAUUCUUAUCUCUUGAUUAAGUCACCUACUCAUUCGUUUAAUAAAUACAUACUGAUUACCUUCUAUGUGUUGAGCACUCAUCUCUGUAUUGGAAAUAUAAUAUUGACCAAAGUUGACAAUAGUAAUAACAAUAAUAGCUAAUAUAGCAGGUACUAAUGAUUGUUUGUUGAGUAAAAUGUCAAAAUUCAGUGUGAACAGCAUUCUGUUUGGGGCCGCAUCCGUUGACUGUAACACAGCUAAUCUAUCUGAAAUUUUCCACUUUGGGCCUCUCUGACAGAAGAAGCUGUGUUGGGCCUGCCUGUAGUUGGCGAUGCAUCCACCAAUGAGAAUGAAUUUAUGAUCGUUCUUCCUGUAAAGGCAGCUGGAACUGACAGCAUUGUGAUUUUCUUUUACUGUUAGUUUUAAAUUACUAGAACCAACUCCAUUACUAGAACCAACUUUACUUCUUUGUUUCCUACUUACCAAAAUAGUAAAAACAACAUGUAAAAUAAAAGAAAUGCCAUCUUAAUAUUGUUUUGAUGACAAAAUGGUGUUCCUUUCAGUUGUGCUUCAGAUGGAAUAAGACGCAAACAGGCUUGGUAUGGUGGCUCAGCCCUGUAAUCCUAGCCCUUUGGGAGGCCGAAGUGGAAGGAUUGCUUGAGGCCAUGAGUUUGAGACCAGCCUGCGCAACAUAGCAAAACUAUGUCUCUACAAAAAAUAAAAAAUUAGCUGAGUGUAGUGGUGUGUGCUUGUGGUCCCAGCUACUUUUGAGGCUGAGGAGGGAGAAUCUCUUGAGACCAGAAGGUCGAAGUUGCAAUGAGCCAUGAUCGUGCCAUUGCCCUCCAGUUUGGACAACAGAGCAAGAUUCUAUGUCGAAAAAU